rnacentral:ncRNA from 1 species
GCAUGGUGUCCUCCGUAAAUGGGAGGGUGAAAAGGGAAGGCGGUUAAAGGCCGCCGCAGCCCCCGCUACUGUAAGGGCGGGCGCGCUUUUUUAAAAGGCGCGCCGCAAUUUUAUCGCAGCGCUUAAAUUAAAGCGCAGUCACUAGCCUCCAAGGGGCCGGGAAGGCGCGGUAAAAUGCCCAAGCCAGGAGACCUGCCUGCUGA